UACGGAGGAUUCGAGCGUUAUCCGGAUUUAUUGGGUUUAAAGGGAGCGUAGGCGGGUUGUUAAGUCAGUUGUGAAAGUUUGCGGCUCAACCGUAAAAUUGCAGUUGAUACUGGCAUCCUUGAGUACAGUAGAGGUAGGCGGAAUUCGUGGUGUAGCGGUAAAAUGCUUAGAUAUCACGAAGAACUCCGAUUGCGAAGGCAGCCUGCUGGACUGUAACUGACGCUGAUGCUCGAAAGUGUGGGUAUCAAACAGG
rnacentral:rRNA from 1 species